rnacentral:rRNA from 1 species
AUUGAACGCUGGCGGCAUGCCUUACACAUGCAAGUCGAACGGCAGCGCGGGAGCAAUCCUGGCGGCGAGUGGCGAACGGGUGAGUAAUAUAUCGGAACGUGCCCUAGAGUGGGGGAUAACUAGUCGAAAGAUUAGCUAAUACCGCAUACGAUCUACGGAUGAAAGUGGGGGAUCGCAAGACCUCAUGCUCGUGGAGCGGCCGAUAUCUGAUCAGCUAGUUGGUAGGGUAAAAGCCUACCAAGGCCACGAUCAGUAGCUGGUCUUAGAGGACGACCAGCCACACUAGGACGGCGACACGGCCCAGACGCCUACGGGGGGCAGCAGUGGGGAAUUUUGGAAAAUGGGGGAAACCCUGAUCCAGCAAUGCCGCGUGUGUGAAGAAGGCCUUCGGGUUGUAAAGCACUUUUGUCCGGAACGAAACGGGCCGAGCUAAUAUCUUGGCCUAAUGACGGUACCGGAAGAAUAAGCACCGGCUAACUACGUGCCAGCCGCCGCGGUAA